AUUCAUUACUAUUCCAAGGGACUAAAAUAUCAUGUUUUUUAUAUUGUAAUUUCACUGUUUAAUCUAUCCGUAUAAUCUAAACACAGCUUUGAAAGCAAACUGCUUGGCUACUCAAAAAUGUGUUUGUUCUCCAAAUUUGACAUAUACAAUUGUGUUUGUGCGAUCCAAUAUAGGGAAAGCUAAUAAAAUAUCCAUGAGACGAUCGCCGAUACGUAGGACAUAUCAAUAUUUAUUGGCGACAGGGUAUCAGCAUGUGUGUCUAACGAUAUUCAUGCGCUUAGAAUAGAAAUCUUGUGCGUUAUAUAGCGAAAUACGAGCGGAAUGUAUAUUUAUGUUGAAACUUCAAGCGGCUUUAUAUGUGCUACGAAAUGUGUACGGUAAAGAUUUGUGGUAGUAAUAUCAAUGUUGACGUACAUUAUUUUGAAUUGAAAAGAUCAAUUAAGAAACGAAACAAAUGAACAUAAAGGGAUAUUUAAAAAUAGAAGAUUUCAAUUAGAAUGAAAAGCAAAGGAACAUUACAAUGAUAGAGACAUUGAAAAAAAGAAGUUUAUAAAAAGUAUAAACAAAGAGGUUUACUACAAUACAAUAAUUUGAAUGUUGUAUUUGUAUAUGUUGUGUCCUAUAUAUUUCAUAUCCCAAGAUUGUCCCACAUACUCAAUAUAAUCCCGGUGUAACAAAACACAAAUGUGUAAAGGAGCUUAUAUCAGCAUCUCGAGUGGAAACUAAAAUAAGAAGUUGUUAUGUGUGAAAUUGAAAUAUUUCUUGAGCUGGCAGACAAUCGACAAAAGAUUCCGUGUAUACGACGGACAAUAGUGCCCACACUGUUGCGGACAAGCUUUUAUAUACUCCAAUACAAGCGAUCUAUCAUUAAUUUUCAUCAAGAAGAAU